UACGAAGGGUGCAAGCGUUACUCGGAAUUACUGGGCGUAAAGCGUGCGUAGGUGGUCGUUUAAGUCCGUUGUGAAAGCCCUGGGCUCAACCUGGGAACUGCAGUGGAUACUGGGCGACUAGAAUGUGGUAGAGGGUAGCGGAAUUCCUGGUGUAGCAGUGAAAUGCGUAGAGAUCAGGAGGAACAUCCAUGGCGAAGGCAGCUACCUGGACCAACAUUGACACUGAGGCACGAAAGCGUGGGGAGCAAACAGGAUUAGAUACCCCCGUA
rnacentral:rRNA from 1 species